rnacentral:lncRNA from 1 species
GUAAGGUAACGUAACGUAACGUACCGCUUUCAUUAGGUUUUAAAACUAAUUUCUGCAAUCUCUUUGGACUCUGCUGUUUGAUAUAUUGCCAAGCCAACCUGAUCCAAGUGGGUUAGAGUUUAUUCACUGACUUCGUGGAACAAAACUGCAUAAGUGAUCUUGUUACCAGGGGACGAGCAACUAGGCUGUUUACAGCCUCUCACUUCUUCAACGCACACGAAAGAAACAGCGAGCGAGAAGGGACGUGGAGUCGAGCGAAGCGAGCCAAAGAAUGGGUCCCCACCCUACCCCGUCAAGUCUUCUGUUUUGCGCUGGUACGCAUCCAGUUCUCACGCGAUUCCAUCUGUACAUUCAGUGAUCGAAUAAAAAUACGGGAAAAUAGAGGGCUAUGAACAGUCUAACGAACAACUUGCAUAGAUUAUUAAUACAUGGUACACUUUUUUACAUAGGAAGGAGGAUGUAGCGUUCCCAUUGGAGUAACGUCUAGCCUGGAUGGCAAUCAGUUAACCAUUACAGGUGCUGUGUUUAGCUUGGACGGAAAAGAGUGCCUCAAGGCCACUGUAUCUGGAACCCUUCCGGAGCCCGUUGUCCAAGGUGGUAGCUGCCCUCAUGCCGUGCUAACCCAGUCCAGCAUUUAUGUCCCAGAUGGAUUGCGUGACUCUCUUGUCGCAGCUGAGAAAUUAGGAGAGCAGUUAGCGCGAGCUUUGAUCGCCAAAGGAGCCGUUGAAGUGCUGCGUAAAGCUAGAGAAGAAAAGGAUCUCGCACAGCAGUGAAGAAAUCCUGCUUAAACUGACAAUGCUUGUUAGGAUACCUAAAUCUUAAAAUUCCAGCGAGUCUGCAAGACACUUUUGCUCGUCACGCAAUCUCUCCUUGCGUUGGUAACGAGCCAAACAUCUAAUUUUUCCCUACAAUAUCGAAUGCACAAUCCGUCACACAGGUAAUGAGAUUCAAUAAAAUCCUCCACCUGGUCACAGA